rnacentral:sRNA from 1 species
GUGCCCUCUGCUUCUCAAAUGCAUGAGCUAAAAGUCCAAACAAUGGACACUUGUUUAUGGCAACGAGGUCCUUAAAGUUUGGGGCCAGGCAAUGAAUCUCUGGGGUAUCUUCCUGAUACUGAGUUUCUGGAUGUCGUAA